rnacentral:tRNA from 1 species
UCCCUGGCAGUCCAGUGGUUAGGACUCUUGUACUUUUACAGCAAGGGCUUGGGUUCAACUCCUGGUUGGGGAA